AAUGGAAUUGCUGGAUGAUAUGGUAAUUUUAUAUUUAAUGUUUGGAGGAAUUGACAUACUGUUUUCUGCAGUAACAACACCUUUUAUAUUCCCACCAGCAUU
rnacentral:pre_miRNA from 1 species